CGUAGGGACCGAGCGUUGUCCGGAUUCAUUGGGCGUAAAGAGCUCGUAGGCGGCUGUUCAAGUCGAACGUGAAAACUCGGGGCUCAACUCCGAGCCUGCGUUCGAUACUGAAUGGCUAGAGUCUGGUAGGGGGAUCUGGAAUUCCUGGUGUAGCGGUGGAAUGCGCAGAUAUCAGGAGGAACACCGGUGGCGAAGGCGGGAUCCUGGGCCAGUACUGACGCUGAGGAGCGAAAGCGUGGGGAGCAAACAGGAUUAGAUACCCUGGUAGUCCACGCCGUAAACGAUGGGCGCUAGGUGUGGGAGGUCAUCGACUCCUUCCGUGCCGUAGCUAACGCAUUAAGCGCCCCGCCUGGGGAGUACGGCCGCAAGGCUA
rnacentral:rRNA from 1 species